rnacentral:rRNA from 1 species
CCUACGGGAGGCAGCAGUCGAGAAUCAUUCACAAUGGGGGAAACCCUGAUGGUGCGACGCCGCGUGGGGGAAUGAAGGUCUUCGGAUUGUAAACCCCUGUCAUGUGGGAGCAAAUUAAAAAGAUAGUACCACAAGAGGAAGAGACGGCUAACUCUGUGCCAGCAGCCGCGGUAAUACAGAGGUCUCAAGCGUUGUUCGGAAUCACUGGGCGUAAAGCGUGCGUAGGCUGUUUCGUAAGUCGUGUGUGAAAGGCGCGGGCUCAACCCGCGGACGGCACAUGAUACUGCGAGACUAGAGUAAUGGAGGGGGAACCGGAAUUCUCGGUGUAGCAGUGAAAUGCGGAGAUAUCGAGAGGAACACUCGAGGCGAAGGCGGGUUCCUGGACAUUAACUGACGCUGAGGCACGAAGGCCAGGGGAGCGAAAGGGAUUAGAUACCCCGGUAGUC